CCACCAACAUCUCACCAUCGCCCCCACCCACUACCACAGCCACUGCUAACCACCACCAAAACACCAGUUCCGCCAAAACACCACCAAACCAACAAAUCUGCCACCAUAGAUCAACCCACCAUCUCAAAAACAGCCAGUCGGCAGCACCGCACACUGCUAGAGCAACCACCAUGCCGCCAAUACCACCGUACCCUUACACAACAGCAUGCCCAACCACCGUCCCUACACAUCAUCGAAACCACGCACCACCACCUCUUCCACAACCCACGACACCACACCUGCACAAUACAAACACCACCACAAAACUCACUUCCACCACCAGUUCCACCAUUCCCAUUAGAUCCAGCACCAUCGCCAACAACCGUAAUCCCC
rnacentral:lncRNA from 1 species